GUUUAUUCUUUCAUUUUACAAUGAUUUUAAAUAUAAAAUUUCUGAAAAAUUACCUAGAAUAACGAGAUUUUUCGAAAAUCGUAAUACAUCGAACAAUUAUCGCGUUACGCUUAAUUCGAUAUUUCAAUUCGAUAAAUACGAUGGUGUAUAAUUAAUACGAUUCCCUUUCCAAUCCGUUGUAAUUUCCAUUCGAAAUGAUAUAGAUCUAAUUACAGAUUGCUCGAAGAAAUCCAAGCCAAGUCGCAAAAUGACUUUGGUAUUUUACGAUGUUGGUUCAGCAUUUCUCAAGCUAUCCAUAAAAUUAAAUCUAUAGAUUAUGGCCUGACUUGGUCGUUUCGUAACUCUUGUAUAAAUUCUAUAUCGAAUCGAUUCGAAUCGAAUCGAGACAAGGAACAUCUCAAUAUUGAACGAAAAAAGUUUCUUUUACCGAUCGUAAAGAAAUAGAUUAAUGAAAAAAACCGCAAUCGUAAUAAAUAUUAUCCCUAUAUUGGAAAUAGCUACCUAUAUUCUAAAUUUUAUAGAAUGUAUAUCGUUAUGUUUGAUUCAUAUCGCAAAAGAAUAUAUUGAUACACGUGAACGAUUAUGGAUUAUAUAUAUAUUUCAUACGAAAACGUGAAAAAUGUACAGAAUGCGCCAUUUGACGAAUGACGAAAUUCAGAAGCAAUAUGGCGUAUAACGAACUUCGCAAAAUGAUAUUCUAAUCAAUUACGAAAUUGUUAUAUAAAACUCUUAACUCACCAUAGAAGACAGCUACAGAUGAUAAGCAUCUCGUAAAUCUGGAUGUAGAAGCUUCAGGUUCUUAAAACACUAAUGAGAACACUAAAAUAUCACACAAAAUUCGACCGAGACGCAAUUACGACGCACAUUUUACGAAUUCAACGUUGAACUGCGUGCGCAUCAUCGACCCGGCAUGUUGAUCAUAGAAAUAUACGAUGCCUCGAGGUAUCAUUGCGAAUAUGAACGACCUUCUAACGAUUUUACGUGGAAAAUUAAACAUGCUGUUUGUUUUCGAAGUAAUUGCUUGUUUUAUUAAAGCAGAUAUUAGUAAAUGAAUAAAAAAUAUUUAAUUAAUUGAGAAAAUAUAUUGAACAAAAACGUGAGAAAGCAAGAUGCGCAAAUUUAGUGAAAUUUAGAACAUUAUGGCGCAUGACGAAUUUCACGAAACGAAUAGUACGAAAUUAUUGUACAUAAAGCUCUUAACUCACUAUAAAAGACAAUUACGGACGACAAACAUUUUGUAAAUUUACGUAGAAACUUUAGAUUUUUGAUACACUAAAAAGAACAGUAAAAAAGUCACACGAAAUUAGACUACGAUAUGACUACGACACGCGAAUCGUACUUCGAAGUAUUGGACUGUCGUUAUACAUCUGCGCACGCAUAUCAUCGACCCGGCAUAUCGAUCGUAGAGACGCCUCGAGGCAUCAUUGCGAACAUGAGUAUUCUUCUAACGAUUUUACGUUUAAAAUAUGUCGUGCUGUUUGUUUCGAAGCAAUCGUGUACAUAGACGAGUGUUAAUUUCUUGUGCAUUAAAUCGAUAAAGAAAGUUUAAUUAAUUGUGAAAGUGUGUAUAAAAACGCAAAAAAGCAAAAUAGUGGCGCCGCUUGGUAAAAUUCGAAGCAUUAUGGCGCAUAAAAAAACUACGAAAUAAUAUUCGAAACAAUUGUUGUACAUAAAAUUCUCAAUUUACUACAGAAGAUAAUUAAUACCAGUAUAAUAAAUUUAGUAAAAUAAUAAUAAAUUUUAUACAAAAUAUAGCAAUAUUCGGAUUCUUAAAAUAUUAAUAAAAACAUUAAAAUAAUUAUAUAAAAUUCAACUGCGACACACUUUUCGAAGUAUUAGAUUGUCGCUGUGUGUACAUCAUCGACCUGCGUAUCGAUUUGUAAACACAUUCGUCGCGUAUUGUUUCAAUUACGACGCGACACUUCGAGACACCGUUGUAAACACAAGCGACCUUAUUGUAACGAUUUUAGAAAUCAGUCGUACUGCUCGUGUCGAAGUGAUCGCAUGCUCUCUUAGGUAGUCGUUAAUUUAUUGCGUAGUAAGUGUUUUAAAAAAAUUUAUUCAAUCGUGAAAGUGCGGUUAAUCAUAUCGAGUUGAUUCGAGAAGAUAUACGUGUGAAGUGCGCAGAAUAACCAAAUUAUCGAUCGAUAUUUAACGAUAUAUAUCCUUACGAUAAUUGAUUAUCAAGUGUGUGCAAUAAUUUACUCGUGUGUACAAUACGCAUCAGACUACGUCAAGGCACGAAAUACAGCAGCAAUAGUCGGAUCGAUGACUCAGUUCGUGAAAAUCAGAUUGGAUAGUGAGUUUGUUCGACGAUGAAACGGUAUCGUAAGAAAUAUUUUGGAACAACGCACAAUGCAGAGUUCAACUUCGCUCGACACGACCAGGACAAAGAGAAGAAACAUGGGCGAGCACAUCCUCUCGAAUCGAGCGAGGAUGAUAAUUCGGGGAAUUCGUUGGUAAGAGAAUCGAAGAAUCGGCUGUGUAAUUCCACGAAGCUUGGGUGGCUAUGCCUAUUUUGAUAAAUAGAGUAGAGGGAGAAGGAUGGGAUUCUCUCUCUCUCUCUUUUUCUCUCUCGGUGGAGUUUAGUCGGUUGCGACUGAGCUUUGAUACCAAGGCAACCGUGAGUGACGUCAAAGUUUUCCACACACAAUGAGAAAGGACAGGAAGAGAUCGAUGACCGCGAUAGAUCUCGCGAGCAUUGUGACGAUGGAACGUCGCGAGAGUGGGUUUCGAGGGGAAGUCGAAUGAGAGGAGACCGAUUCCUGCACCACGUUUCGACUUUUCCAACGAUAGCUCAGCUUAUGGACACCCUGUGCAUCAAGAAGGCGGGCGAAGGAAAAACGGUGUGUUUCGAGCGAUAACGCAGCUGACUCGAGAACGGUGCUCCCUUUGUCCCGUUAAUUGCUUCGAUUCUGACACACGCAAACCGAUUCUAUCUACAACGAGUACACAAAGGAGCGGGGCCCGCCACUUCUUCGAGGCAGUGGAUCGCGAUAAUCGGCGGAGCGCAGGUACUCCGGGCACGCGUGAACAACAGUACAACGAAGAGUCAUCGAGACCGUUCCUCUUCCAAGGAAUUCGCUCCUUCUUCCCGACAUCUGCCUCUAAGCUGCGUGUAGAACGAGAUACAAUCGCUGGAAAUACUCCGCUAGUAUCUCGGCGGGAGGGUGGAUUCGAAACGUGAUGGGAAACGCACGUGGGAGAGAUGUUAAAAUAUAUUUAUUAGGACGUUCGUAAUAGAAGAGAUUUCUAGUAGGAAGGAGAGAUUAAUCGGCAAAGGGUUUUUUGCGAAUGAAAUUAAUCUUAUUCGGUUCGCCGUAAUGAACUGUGACUCGGAAACAAGGCCGCCUAAGGAUAUAUCGCGGUAGAGGGGCGCAUGCAAGAAGCUGAAUACCAAAGAUUCCUGGAAUCACUGCCGCUGGGCGAUAAAGCGUUUACACCUGGAUCGAUUAGCAUCUUUCAUUAAAAUUAAUGGAGAAUCGAUACUAAUCCUCCUACGAUCCACGUUCAACGCAUACGGGGGCACUAAUUAACCGAAAUAUCUGCGACUGACCGAGAUGUAUCGGUGCGUUGGCUUUGGUUUUAGAGAUGGCCGGCGCCUGAUGCGAAUUAUGUAUGAUGCAUCGACCAAUAUCGCGUUAAAAAGGUAACGAGUCUCGUAUUUCAUAUAGAAAUUAUAUCUGUAAAUCUUAUCUUUCGAGUGUUACCUUUACUGAACGAGUAAACGGGUAAGUAUAUGAGAUGCAGAAGAUAAUUCAAUGCAAUUCUUAAACAAAUCGUGAUAUGAUAUCUUACGAUGUAUAAAAAUAUAAAUAUCAAUGUAUGAAAAUAUAUAUAGAUUUACGUAUAAAAAUUGGAUUAGAAUAGAUUUCGGUAAGAUUUUCGAUCGAUAGAUUAAGCGAAGAAAAGGAUAAAGUUGAUCGAGUAUCGAAGCUGUCUUUUGAGCGCAUGAUUUUUGUGGAGCAGGUGAUAGACAAGGAGAGUAAGUAAUGCGAAAAGGACAGAAAUAGGAUAAAAAUAUUGAAAUCAGCGCCAUCUUCAGAGUGCCGCAAAUGAAACUCGGAAAGGAAGGAUAGAAAAUGGUUGGAAAAGGACAGAGAUAGAAUCGGAAUUAACCGUUAGCACCAUCUCUCGUGUAGAAGAAGUACUUCUUCGAAGAUGGUAAGAUAGAGUUAGAAGAAUUAACGCGCAGCGCCAUCUCUCGAGUACGAAAAGUACCUUUUCAAAGUCGAUAAGAUAGAGUUGGGAGAAUUAGGAAGCAGCGCCAUCUCUUGAGUUUUCUUUUAACGAGAUACCUUUGUUGAUUAAGAGAUGGCACUGAUGAUCAAUUCUUAUUGUAUCUCUAUCCUUUUCCCAUUAUAUUCUGUCCUUAUUUUUUUGAGUUUCAUUUGCGGCACUCUGAAGAUGGCGCUGAUUUCAAUAUUUUUAUCCUAUCUCUAUCCUUUUUCCAUUAUUUGCUCUCCUUGUCUAUACUUUUUUUUAGCACAUGAAUAGGUAUAAAAUAAAAUUCGAUAUAAAAUAAGAUUUUAAGACAUUACGAAUAAUUGAAAUUUAAACUGUAUUUUAAUGAAAUUACAAAUAAGAUACAAACGUAAACAAUAAUUAGAGAUAUUAAUUAUUUAACAUUUAUAACGAAUAAUAAACGAAUAGUAAACAAACCCUUAAAUAUUCUUAUGCACAUUCAAUUAUAUUUUUAUCUUGAGAUAAAACUUUCAAAAGAGCAUUAAUAUUUUCUGAAAGCAAGAAAUCGUCCGAGAUCACUUUCGAUAUAUCGAUAGUCGUUUCUAUGGCGCCAUUUAAUUUUUUGAACGCGUUCCUCGCAACCACAAGCUCUGUCAAAACGUUCUUGAAAAGUAG